AGAGUUUGAUCCUGGCUCAGGAUGAACGCUAGCGGCGGGCUUAAUACAUGCAAGUCAAGGGGUAGCAAUACACCGGCGUACGGGUGCGUAACGCGUAUGGAACCUGCCCUUAUCUGGGGGAUAACUCGGGGANAACUCGAGCUAAUACCGCAUAAGAUAGUAGAAUGGCAUCAUUCAGCUAUUAAAGAUUUAUUGGAUAAGGAUGGCCAUGCGUAAGAUUAGAUAGUUGGCGAGGUAACGGCUCACCAAGUCUACGAUCUUUAGGGGCUCUGAGAGGAGAAUCCCCCACACUGGCACUGAGAUACGGGCCAGACUCCUACGGGAGGCAGCAGUAGGGAAUAUUGGGCAAUGGGCGGAAGCCUGACCCAGCCACGCCGCGUGCAGGAAGACGGCCCUCUGGGUUGUAAACUGCUUUUAACUGGGAAGAAAAGAGGCCUUGCGAGGCAAGUUGACGGUACCAGUUGAAUAAGCCACGGCUAACUACGUGCCAGCAGCCGCGGUAAUACGUAGGUGGCGAGCGUUAUCCGGAUUUAUUGGGUUUAAAGGGAGCGUAGGCGGCUGAUUAAGUCAGCGGUGAAAGGUAGCAG
rnacentral:rRNA from 1 species